rnacentral:rRNA from 1 species
CAUGCAGUCGUANGCGGGGCUCCCCUUCGGNGANCUGCCGAGUGGCGCNNNNNUNNGUAACGCGUAGACAACCUGCCCUCGGGUGGGGGAUANCCCAGGGAAACCUGGGCUAAUACCGCAUAAAGUCCGGGUGACGCAUGUCACUUGGAUGAAAGCCCUUCGGGGCGCCUGANAAUGGGUCUGCGUCCUAUCAGCUAGUUGGUGAGGUAACGGCUCACCAAGGCUACGACGGGUAGCUGGUCUGAGAGGAUGGCCAGCCACACUGGCACUGAGACACGGGCCAGACUCCUACGGGAGGCAGCAGUGGGGAAUCUUGGGCAAUGGGCGAAAGCCUGACCCAGCCACGCCGCGNGNAGGAUGACACCCCUAUGGGGCGUAAACUCCUUUUCUGGGGGAAGAAACCCCGGCUACGGCCGGGGCUGACGGUACCCCAGGAAUAAGCGCCGGCUAACUCCGUGCCAGCAGCCGCGGUAAUACGNAGGGCGCAAGCGUUGUCCGGAAUCNCUGGGUGUAAAGGGUGUGUAGGCGGNACAGUAAGUCGGUGGUGAAAGCCCGCGGCNUCNACCGUNNNUUGCCUCCNAUACUGCUGUCCUUGAGUCCCGGNNAGGCCACUGNANUUNCUGNGUAGCGGUGAAAUGCGUAGAU